ACGUGCAACUGGCGGAUAAGUGGUGAAACCACAGGGAGCACGUUUGAUAUGGAGCCGACCGCCUGGGCAUCUC
rnacentral:ncRNA from 1 species